rnacentral:tRNA from 1 species
GCAGUGGUAGUUCAGUGGUAGAGUUCUCACCUUCCAUAUGGGAGGCCUGGGUUCAAUUACUGGCCAAUGCA